ACGAACGCUGGCGGCGUGCUUAACACAUGCAAGUCGAACGGAAAGGCCCUGCUUUUGUGGGGUGCUCGAGUGGCGAACGGGUGAGUAACACGUGAGUAACCUGCCCUUGACUUUGGGAUAACUUCAGGAAACUGGGGCUAAUACCGGAUAGGAGCUCCUGCUGCAUGGUGGGGGUUGGAAAGUUUCGGCGGUUGGGGAUGGACUCGCGGCUUAUCAGCUUGUUGGUGGGGUAGUGGCUUACCAAGGCUUUGACGGGUAGCCGGCCUGAGAGGGUGACCGGGCCAAUGGGGGAGGGGAGACGGCCCAGGCCCCCUCGGGGGGGCGGAGGGGGGAAUUAUUCAACAGGGGGGGGAGCCCGAGGGACACACGCCGGGGGGGGGAAGGGGGCCUUUGGGGUGGAAACCCCUUUUGCCUGGGACGGAGGGGGGGGGGCGGUAAUGGGGAAAGAAGCACCGGCUAACUACGU
rnacentral:rRNA from 1 species